GAUGAAGAACGUAGUGAAAUGCGAUAAGUAAUGUGAAUUGCAGAAUUCAGUGAAUCAUCGAAUCUUUGAACGCACAUUGCGCCCCCUGGUAUUCCGGGGGGCAUGCCUGUUCGAGCGUCAUUUCAACCCUCAAGCUCUGCUUGGUAUUGAGUCCAUGUCAGCAAUGGCAGGCUCCAAAAUCAGUGGCGGCGCCGCCGGGUCCUGAACGUAGUAAUAUCUCUCGUUACAGGUGCUCGGCGUGCUUCUGCCAAAACCCCAAUUUUUCUAUGGUUGACCUCGGAUCAGGUAGGGAUACCCGCUGAACUUAAGCAUAUCAAUAAGCGGAGGA
rnacentral:misc_RNA from 1 species